AUUGAACGCUGGCGGCAGGCCUAACACAUGCAAGUCGAGCGGAGCGGCAGACGGGGGCGGAAUGGCUAGGUAUCUGCCUGGUAGUGGGGGAUAACGUCCGGUAACGGGCGCUAAUACCGCAUACUAUCAGAUGAGCCUAGGUCGGAUUGGCUAGUGGGUGGGGUAAAGGCCUAGCAAGGCGACGAUCCCUAACUGGUCUGAGAGGAUGAUCAGUCACACUGGAACUGAGCCACGGUCCAGACUCCUACGGGAGGCAGCAGUGGGGAAUAUUGCACAAUGGGCGAAAGCCUGAUACAGCCAUGCCGCGUGUGUGAAGAAGGUCUUCGGAUUGUAAAGCACUUUAAGUUGGGAGGCGUUACCAACAGAAUAAGCACCGGCUAACUCCGUGCCAGCAGCCGCGGUAAUUC
rnacentral:rRNA from 1 species